GCAACGCAGACAGACAGAGAGAACUACCUAACAGGCAAGUGAACACACAACCUGAAAAGCUUAUCUACAGAAAAGAAAAACAGGAAGACCAACGCGUGGAGCGACAAUACGCGGCCCAACUGUGUUCAUAACACAGUGUGAGAGAUCGAUUGGACAUUAGACCAACUGUCUGGAUUUUGAUGGCGAGCUAAUCACUUGGAUCUAGAUUGAGACAACCUGGAUACCUCCUUGCUGCAUUCUCUUGGUGUGAUUCUUGACAAGGUGAUGGCGCUGGAACUUUGGUUUGGUGCUGUUCCAGCGAGAUUUACAAAGAUGACUGCCUGAAGGAGAC